rnacentral:misc_RNA from 1 species
GUGAAUCAUCGAAUUUUUGAACGCAUAUUGCACCAUCUGGUAUUCCUGAGAGUAUGCCUAUUUGAGUGUCAUUUGAAAUAAUAUAAAUUUCGAGUUUUUCUUUAAAUCAAAAAUAGUUCGGUCCAGCUGUCGUGUGGUGGUUCCCUAAAAUGCAAGACAGUCUCAUUUCUUGAGUUUCGUGAUACUUUCAGUUACCUCUUGACUUCACAAGAAAUCUUCGAUCAGGUUAAGAAUUGUGCAAGAAAUAAACUUCAUUUAUCUCACC